AUAAGUCUGCCACCGGGUAGAGUAAAUCGAGGCACUCGUUACACAUCGUUAGGUCUUAGAAGAUGUGUAGUCGUGUGCUUAUUUUUAA
rnacentral:ncRNA from 1 species